rnacentral:rRNA from 1 species
CCUACGGGUGGCAGCAGUGAGGAAUAUUGGUCAAUGGACGAGAGUCUGAACCAGCCAAGUAGCGUGAAGGAUGACUGCCCGAUGGGUUGUAAACUUCUUUUAUAUGGGAAUAAAAUGUUCCACGUGUGGGAUUUUGUAUGUACCAUAUGAAUAAGGAUCGGCUAACUCCGUGCCAGCAGCCGCGGUAAUACGGAGGAUCCGAGCGUUAUCCGGAUUUAUUGGGUUGAAAGGGAGCGUAGGUGGAUUGUUAAGUCAGUUGUGAAAGUUUGCGGCUAAACCGUAAAAUUGCAGUUGAAACUGGCAGUCUUGAGUACAGUAGAGGUGGGCGGAAUUCGUGGUGUAGCGGUGAAAUGCUUAGAUAUCACGAAGAACUCCGAUUGCGAAGGCAGUUCACUGGACUGCAACUGACACUGAGGCUCGAAAGUGUGGGUAUCAAACAGGAUUAGAUACCCGGGUAGUC